rnacentral:lncRNA from 1 species
AAAUAUUAUAUGGCCUAUACAACAGAGCUCAAUAUCAAAGAUGUGGGAGUUCAUGAAAUCGAAAUUCACAAGAAUGUCCAGGACCAAAAUUUACCAUCGAAAAUGUCUUCAACAGGGUUCCUUCAAUCAUUGACCUUUGAUUAAUGGUACAAUAAAACGAAUCACACGAAGGAAAAACAGUUUUUCAAAACACACAAAAACAAAACAACAAAUACAUCAAGAGAUACAAAACUAGCCAAAAAAAAAUCCAACAAAAGAAUACAAUAAAAAGUAUUCUACAUACACCAAAGAUCCAUGUCAUCAUAAGCCCAGAGCAGAAAUCUAAUGCUAAGAAGUUCUAUAGCUUCAUAAAGAAUAAAAGAUGCGAAAUGGAGGGGUUGCGCUACUAAGAAACACAUACAGGCUCACAUAUUCGGAUUAUAAAAUGAAGGCAAAUAUACUUAGUUUUCCUCAGCAUUUAACAGCAAAAGAAGAGACUAUCGCAUAGAAAUGAAAUCAGAUACAUACCAACGUAUGAAAAAAAACACUACAUCGUAACAUGGGAAAAUGGAAUACACAAACUGCUGUUAAAUCUUAACAUACAUAAAGCAUCAGGACCAGAUGAAAAUCUCUACAAAAUUAUUGAAGAAAAAAACCUCCUGAAAUACAUACUUGCACCAAUUUUCAAAACUCCGUCGACCAAGGUACAUUUAUACAAUCUGAUUGGAAAAAUGCAUAUGAAGUUCCAAUACUAAAGAACGGGGGUCGUAGCC